AUGCUCCCUUUGGCAGCACAUAUGCUAACACUGGAGCAAUACAGAGAAGAUGAACACGGCCCUGCACGUGGAUGACAUGCAAGUUCGUGAAUCAGCCCGUAUUCUU